rnacentral:rRNA from 1 species
AGAGUUUGUUCCUGGCUCAGGAUGAACGCUAGCGACAGGCUUAACACAUGCAAGUCGAGGGGCAGCGGGGUAGGAAGCUUGCUUUCUGCCGCCGGCGACCGGCGCACGGGUGAGUAACACGUAUGCAACCUGGCCGUGACUGAUGGAUAACCGGGAGAAAUCCCGCCUAAUACAACAUAAUGCCGGGAGGGGACAUCCCCUGCCGGCCAAAGGGGGCGACCCCGGUCACGGGUGGGCAUGCGGCGCAUUAGGUAGUUGGUGGGGCAACGGCCCACCAAGCCGACGAUGCGUAGGGGUUCUGAGAGGAAGGUCCCCCACAUUGGAACUGAGACACGGUCCAAACUCCUACGGGAGGCAGCAGUGAGGAAUAUUGGUCAAUGGCCGGAAGGCUGAACCAGCCAAGUCGCGUGAGGGAAUAAGGCCCUACGGGUCGUAAACCUCUUUUGCCAGGGAGCAAUGCCGUCCACGUGUGGACGGAAGGAGAGUACCUGGAGAAAAAGCAUCGGCUAACUCCGUGCCAGCAGCCGCGGUAAUACGGAGGAUGCGAGCGUUAUCCGGAUUUAUUGGGUUUAAAGGGUGCGUAGGCGGCCUGCCAAGUCAGCGGUAAAAUUGCGGGGCUCAACCCCGUACAGCCGUUGAAACUGCCGGGCUCGAGUGGGCGAGAAGUAUGCGGAAUGCGUGGUGUAGCGGUGAAAUGCAUAGAUAUCACGCAGAACCCCGAUUGCGAAGGCAGCAUACCGGCGCCCGACUGACGCUGAGGCACGAAAGUGCGGGGAUCAAACAGGAUUAGAUACCCUGGUAGUCCGCACAGUAAACGAUGAAUGCUAGCUGUCCGGGGGGGAUUGACCCCUGGGUGGCACAGCGAAAGCGUUAAGCAUUCCACCUGGGGAGUACGCCGGCAACGGUGAAACUCAAAGGAAUUGACGGGGGCCCGCACAAGCGGAGGAACAUGUGGUUUAAUUCGAAGCAACGCGAAGAACCUUACCUGGUCUUGACAUCCCAGUGACGCAUGAGUAAAGUCAUGUUUCCUUCGGGACACUGGAGACAGGUGGUGCAUGGUUGUCGUCAGCUCGUGUCGUGAGAUGUUGGGUUAAGUCCCGCAACGAGCGCAACCCCUAUUUCCAGUAGCCAGCAUGUAAAGAUGGGCACUCUGGAGAGACUGCCUAGGAUAACUAGGAGGAAGGCGGGGAUGACGUCAAAUCAUCAUGCCCCUUAUGAUCAGGGCUACACACGUGCUACAAUGGCGUAAACAAAGGGAAGCGAAGUGGUGACGCCAAGCAAAUCCCAAAAAUAACGUCUCAGUUCGGAUUAUAGUCUGCAACUCGACUACAUGAAGCUGGAAUCGCUAGUAAUCGCGAAUCAGAAUGUCGCGGUGAAUACGAAGCCGGGUCUUGCACUCACCGCCCGUCAAG